rnacentral:rRNA from 1 species
UACGUAGGUGGCAAGCGUUGUCCGGAUUUACUGGGCGUAAAGAGCGCGCAGGCGGUCGUUCAAGUCGCGUGUGAAAGCCCCCCGGCUCAACUGGGGAGGGUCACGCGAUACUGAUCGACUCGAAGGCAGGAGAGGGAAGUGGAAUCCCGGUGUAGUGGUGAAAUGCGUAGAUAUCGGGAGGAACACCAGUGGCGAAGGCGACUUCCUGGCCUGUUCUUGACGCUGAGGCGCGAAAGCUAGGGGAGCAAACGGGG